CUCCUCUUGUAAAAGCACCCAGCAUUGCUGCUCCCACCAACACCUUCACGUUACACCUACUCCAAAAUCCAUAAAAUGAACAUGUAAGACUGAAGGGUGAGAAAAUUCUUCCCUUUCAGUUCAACACUUGCUAAAGCUUUGUUACUCACCACCACUACAAUCCUCCAACUUCACCCACUCAGCCUCCUAAUCCAUGCCCAAGGGGAGCUUGGGGAAAGAAUAAAUCUAAGCAGCAUCCCACAAAGUUGACCAUCUCCUCCCUUCCUGAGCAGCUCCAGCCAGAGGCCCCUCAGCAAGCACAAGCCUACCCACCUGGGCUAAUUAUCUGUCUCAGUACAUCUGGCAGCCUAUGACUAUCUCCUCUGCUCCCUGCCUGGCUCUGGUAGAGCAGCAGGAGUAGAGGCAAAUCCCAUAUCCUGGGCUCUUCCUGAACAGAAAACGCUCCAGAAAGGGAAGACCGGCAGAAAGAUAUGUUUCCCUUGAAGAACACCAAGUUGUAACUGCAGCUUAUGAAGCACCUUUCCACCUUCUGCCAUUUUGGAAAACCUUUUCCCUUGCAUCAUCUUCAGCCCACGUGAGUGCGAUAUGAGAGAUGAGACGGUUCAACAUACAGCAUUAAAAGAAGUCAACCACAAGUAAUGUUGUUGAUGACUCAUCUCUGGUUCCUCAUUAGCCCAAUUAUGAUAUGUGAUUUUCCUCAAUAUUGUCCACCUGUCCUCUCCCUGCCCACCCAUACAACUAGAACUCAAAUGCUUAUAAUGAUCAAUCUUAAUAUUAUGAAUCCUAACAUAAAUCUAUAAACUAUAAUAGCUCAGAAAUUACAUAUAUAGGUGUCUUUUUGAGCCUAACUCAUAGUGAUAAGACUUUGAAGGAAAGAAGCAACCAAAUACCUUGAUUCUGGUAGAAAAAUCACAGGGAAUGGUACAUUCUACAUGCACGAACACAUGACUUAUUCUAUCAGUCUCAAAGAAAUACUGUCACAGGCUGCUCCCAAGUGUAAGUGUUAUACAAAAGGCUGGAUUCACUCUCCCUUUUCCAUAGAUUUAGCAAAUGUGAUUGCAGAUAUUCAACACAUUUUUGUAGUACAUUUGCCUACAGAUUGCAUGUACAGUAAGUGGCACAUCUUGGUGAUGUCGAAGAACUCCAGAUAUUGAUCAGAAUUACCUGUCCUCUGCUGCAGGACAAGGAUCAGCAUCAUCUGAAGAAAAAACAUUAAGAAAAGGUCCUCAGAUAUGAUGCAGCAUCCCUGCUGGUGUCUGUGCUCAAAACUCACUUUCUGCCCUAGGGUUAUUGUGUCACAAUUCCAAGACAGGUAUGACAUCCCAAAAAUCCCUUGUUCAGGUUUUGUGAGAAGAAAUGGAAUUACACCCGUAAGUUUAAUAUUUUCUCCUUGUAUAUUUUUCAUUAUUACAUUUGUAUGUUUCUUUUCCUUUUCCUUUCUUUUCCUUUCCUUUCUUUUCUUUUCUCUUUUCUUUUCUUUUCUGUUUUCUUUUCUUUGCUUUUCUUCUCUUUCCUUUUUCCUUUUUCCUUUUUCCUUUUUCCUUUUUCCUUUUUCCUUUCUUUUCCCUAUUCCUGUUUCCUUUCUCCCAUUAUUUUUACUUACUACAUUUGGAAAUUAUUUUAUUUGUUACCCUGUUAAUCCUUUUUCAUCAAUUCAUUCCUACAUCGCACCAUUUUUCUCCUUGAAAAAGCUUUGUAAUUUAAAAACACACAGACACAUGAGUUUUGUGCAGUGCAAGGCAAUGGCAGACUUCUCCUUGAUUGCUUGCCUGAAUGGUGUCAGUAAAGAAAAAACAGAUGUCAGAGGCACAGCUCUUAAAGGCCAAACAGGCUAAAUUAAAGGAAAAUGAAAAGAUGUUGAGGCAAAUUCACUCAUUCUUCAAACAAACUCAUAUUCUCUAUCUAAGUUAAAAAAAAAAAAAAAAAAAAAGUCAUUCCUCCAACAGAAAUACUCAGGAGUGUUUAUGGUCUGCCAGAUGAUUGGAGUGUAAUAAAUGUAAUUUUGCAAGCUUGUAAAAUAUCUUGACAUUGCCUUAAAGAAACCACAAUAAACAAUCUGUUUGGAUUGCUUUAUUUCCAUUUCUAUACCUUAUUAAGCUGGUUUGUAGAAGAUGUAACAGGAAAAAAAAAAAAAAACAACUAGAAAUGUACUGAUUACACCAUUAGAAAUAAGUGAAAAUAGCUUAAAAAUAAAUUCUGUCAUAUGCAACAGUCCAUUAAAACAGUGCAUACUUCUUUAAGCUUUGCUACAAGCCAGAUUCUUAUCUCAAAUGUGGGCAGAGUGCCCACGGACUUCAAUAGGAGCCGCGCAUACAUAUUCUGAAGCAGCAUUUGGUCUGGUGCGUUCAUUAAGGGCUUCUGAACUUAAGAUGUUACUUUGACGUUCCAGAAAAGACCCGUAGUACAGAUAAGCUCCUGUUGAUUUUCGGUGAAGCUACCUCUGCUGCUGUUUGGGGCAAGUCCCAACACCGAGCCUGCUAGUGUUCCCCUCAAGCAUGACAUGCACCUACAGAAUAAUGAAGACAUUGAACUUUUUGAUUGACAGAGCCUCAUAGAAAUGAUGCACAGAAAAGAACAAUUAUUGCAACACAGUGGCAAACCCCAUCUUGAAUUGAAAUUCCCUUUUCAUCUGCAGGCUGAGGAGCAUGCCAGGAUUACAAACAAUUUAGUAAAUGGCUAUUGCAGGUACACAAACAUGCACAGUGUUCUAGGAAGUUAAGUGCUUCAGACUCAAGAGCCCCAGCAAUGCAAGCUCCUGGCAGCUCUGGGUUGUUCAGAGGCCGUGGCUGGAACUGCAGCAGCAGUUGUGCCCUUCUCCCACCUCCACCCAGCUAAGGAUGGGCUUUGUCACAGAGCAGAUCACCAUCCUGACAGCCAAGGCCUCUCCAGCUCCAGGCCAACCCACAGCUUUCUUAUGGCUCAUGGAAAAACUGAACUUCAUGGCUUGUUACCCAUGUAGACUCCCCAUCAGUGCCCUCUCCUCUUCACCCUUCAAGCUAGCCUUGAAUGACCCUCCUGUGAUGGGAAGGACCUCAUCCCUAGAGACCAUUUCCAUAGAAAUCAAAAUACUGCCAAAAUUCAGGAACAAAUAAAAAGGAUUGAGUCAUUUUCCACGUUUGUCAACUUUGGCACAAAUUGUAUUAUUCCAAUCAGCACUGCUCUUGUUUUCUGAAAAAGAGGUUUUUUUCUAAGUGUAGGUACUGAAUCUGUUCCCAUGCCCUAAUUUGUACAAGCUUUGCAUUGCCUCUCUCCUGGUUUUAUCUGAGUUACUGCGUCACCUCUCUCUUCCUCUUCCCAUCUAGGUAACGGAGUAUUCUAUACUUAGGUUUUCUACUCAGAUCAUGAACCUUGAACUCAAGCACAGUCCUAGCUCCACACAGGGCUCCCCUGCUGGGGACAGGCCACAGUGCUUAUGAGAAAGUGAAGUCCACGGUUCACACCCUGGCACAUGAGGUUAAUCUGAAUUCAGUGGUUCAUGAUAUUUGACCUAGGAAAGAAGAUCCUGAAAGUCACAGAAUCAUUAAGGUUGGAGAACACCACUGAGAUCAUCUAGUUGAACCAUCAACCCAUCACCAUCAUACCAUUAAACCAUGCCACUCAGUGUGACACCUACCCUUUUCUUGAAAAUCUCCAGGAAAAGCUGAUAUAUGGGCAUUUUUGCUGACAUUCUUCCAACAAUGAUGACCUCCAUAAGAAUUUCUAGGCACCUCCUGAUGUAAAUCGCCUGAGUUGACUGUUAGAAGACACGCCAGAUCUGGAAGUACAUUUAAAAGGAAGUACUCAGUAGUAGAUUGCUUAGAAGAAUGAACAGGUGGCAUCUACCCAUCCAUCCUCCUCUGCUCACUGUCUAUAACGACACUGCAAGACAAAGGACUGUGGAUUCCCAUCCCUGGAGGUAUUCAAGGUCAGGUUGGAUUCAGCCUUGGGCAGCCUGAUCUAGUGGUUGGCAACCCUGCCUAUGGCAGGGGAUUGGAACUGGAUUUAAGGUCCCUUCCAACCCAAGCCAUUCUAUGAUUCUGUAAUUCUACAACUACUCACACAGACUUAGAGCCCACUCCAGUCACAGCUCUAUAGGUGAAUCUUCACAGCCCUCCAAGUUAAAAGAGCCAACACUCAUUGCAGCUACGGUGCGCCCUGUCUCGGUAUGAUUAUGCAUCUAUCUAGGAAUUUGUUUCAUCCCUGUGCCAGACAUCCAACAACUGCAGAGAGCAACACUGCUUAACUGAAUGUUUCCAAUGUUAGGCGCUGAAAGACAUGAUAAAAUAAAAAUGAUCUCUUUCAUUUCCCAUAGCACCUUCUCUUAGAGGGUCUGACAUGAGAAGAAUACCCUUUCUUAUGCUACUGGGCUUUGUAAUCCCAGAGAUCAACCUUCACAUAAAUGGGGAAAAGGAGGUAGACGGCACUCAUGGGAUUUCACUAAGACUAAACAAAAAGUUUACAACGGAGGCAGAAGGGAGACACAGUGCUGCAAACUUCUCUUCCACCCUUUAGACCUAGUACUACUUUUAUUUAUGAUCCUACAAUGCACAGGUCCUGCUACUCCUUCGCUGGAGAAAGGACAAAAUUACUAAGGUUUUUACACCACAUCUAAGGUGGAUACGACAAAACCUGACAUCAGACGAAUGCUUUAGUUCCAGUUUGACAACAGAUUCAUUAGAACGGUCCCAAAGAUUUGCAUCGUAAACAAAGCAAUAAACAACAAUGAAAGCUUGCAGCCUACUAAGGCUAUUCUGGGAGCCAGGACCUCAGCAGUAUCUCAGAAGGUCACAUCAGAAGGGCACACCAGCUGCUAUCAGGAGGUCUUGUGGCUACUUGGCUCUGGUUGGUGUCAAAUCCAUCCCCCGGUGCACGCCACAAAGCAGCCUGUGACUGACUCCUGUGAGUGACUCCGUGUAUUUCCAGCUCCCAUUUACUUAAUUUAGCUGCUGGCUGACGCCACACCUUCUUUCCCCAGCCACAUUCAUUACUCCAGGCCUUGAGGGAGAGCAGGGGUGCAUAUGCUGUUGCAGUCUUUUAUUUCUGGCAUGUGCCUGGAGUGCUGAGCUGGCCAAGGCACAUGGGAGAUCCCUCCCACCCCAGGGCAAAGGCUAUUUCAACCAUCCCUGGGAAGGGCCAGGAAAGGAAGCCUGCCAUGCAGACCUGGCAGCCAUCUCCAUUCCAGCUUCCAAAACCAGAGCAUGGAAGAAUUCACCUCUUAUCAGCAGCCCUGUUCCUCCUUGCAGCUCGCCCUGCAGCUUUCCAGGCUGCCUGCUGGAGUGAGAAGGGUGCAGCUCCUGGCACAGGGCUCAGAAAGGUGCGUUCACCCAGGUGCACCCAACCUGGAAGGCUGUGAUAGCAAUCACAGCCAGGCCUGCUGGUUCUGCCCCAAAUUGUUUCCAAGUGUAUUAAAACUAGGACUUGAAACAGCAAUGCCAGGCUUUGGCUUCGGCCAGUCCUUACCUGUCACCUGC
rnacentral:lncRNA from 1 species